UACAGAGGUCUCAAGCGUUGUUCGGAUUCAUUGGGCGUAAAGGGUGUGUAGGUGGCGCCGUAAGUCGGGUGUGAAAUUUCGGAGCUUAACUCCGAAACUGCAUUCGAUACUGCGGUGCUUGAGGACUGGAGAGGAGACUGGAAAUUCCUGGUGUAGCGGUGAAAUGCGCAGAUAUCAGGAAGAACACCCGUGGCGAAGGCGGCUCACUGGUCCGGUACUGACGCUGGAGGUGCGAAAGCCGUGGGGAGCAAACAGG
rnacentral:rRNA from 1 species